CUUAUGCCAAGGUAGCAAUGGUGGUCGAAAAAACAAUUGGCUCCUGUCAUAUGUUUAAAUUAGUAUGAUGCCCAUGAUCUGAUGAAAUUUAUAUUGGGAGCAAAACAAUCUUUGUUUCACUUUCUUUUCAGAAAAUAAUCACCAGUAGACGAUAUGUACCUUGUUUCCUCCUCGUGCUGCAUCUUUUUCAGGGGAGAAGCAAGUUGUGAAAAAUUCUUAUAAGCAUUUUAAAAGACUAAACUAUUUUCAUUUCGCUAUUAUGUACUCCAGCUAUGCUUUGGCUAUCUGGUAUGGUGCAAGGUUCAUCUUGGGAAAAGGAUAUACUGGUGGUCAAGUUUUCAAUGUUUUCGACGUCAAGCUUCUCCAUUCAGUAGCAAGCGAUUUACUUCUUAAGGUACACCAAUAUAACUAUGCAUAAGUUUGAGAGUGAUUACACUAGAUGCACUUAGUAUUCUUAUAAUAAACUAAUAAUAGUAUAAGUGUACUAAUUUGAUGGGGCUUCUCAAAGCUUGUAGUUGUACUUAACAUGUGCAAUGAGGAUGAUUCUCAAAGCUUGUAGACAGGGGCGGACCCACGUGUUGUCCAGGGGGUUCACCCGAACCCCCUCGAUAAAAAAUUACACUGUAUAUAUAAGGUGAAUUUUCUGGAUUUAUGUGGAUAUAUAUAUUUUGACUUGUGUGGAUAUGCAUUGCCAAGGUGUUAGUGUUAGAUGCUUAGAUACUGGCUUGAACUCCACUUUUGGUGGAGUAAUGUGUCUCAUCCUAUCUAGGAUGGUGUCACGUAGACAAGAUGCUUAUGCCAAGGUAGCAAUGGUGGUCGAAAAAACAAUUGGCUCCUGUCAUAUGUUUAAAUUAGUAUGAUGCCCAUGAUCUGAUGAAAUUUAUAUUGGGAGCAAAACAAUCUUUGUUUCACUUUCUUUUCAGAAAAUAAUCACCAGUAGACGAUAUGUACCUUGUUUCCUCCUCGUGCUGCAUCUUUUUCAGGGGAGAAGCAAGUUGUGAAAAAUUCUUAUAAGCAUUUUAAAAGACUAAGCUAUUUUCAUUUUGCUAUUAUGUACUCCAGCUAUGCUUUGGCUAUCUGGUAUGGUGC
rnacentral:lncRNA from 1 species